UGGUUGUUUUAAAAACAUGGCAUUCUCUCGAGAAUGACACAAUAAAGUUUCUCUGAAAGACAUGACAUCCUCCCAGUGCUAUGCAACUAUAAAGUAUGAAAUAAAGUUGUUGAUACGUCGCUAAAAUCCAUUUCCCACUGCUUUACCUAUAAUCAUAAAAUAUGGCUUUAUCAAAUUGCUUGUUAGCAUAUAUAGCCAUAAAGGUAUCAACAACUAUAAUUCUUUUAGAAUAGAUUCAUUAUAUUUGUUCUUAAAAUGAUGUGAUUUAAAGAUAUGUAUUGGAUCAUUACUGUGUAUAUAUCAAAAAAAUUUGUAAUAUAUAUCAAAAAAUCAAUG
rnacentral:lncRNA from 1 species